AAACGGUUCAAAAUUUUAAAACUGGACAAAAUAUAUAUUUAUUUAUAUACAUUAAAGCUUGGGUGGCCACCGAAAGUGUGGCCGAAGUAAGAUACAUCAACGGCACCAACACCAUCCUGGGAAAAAAAAUCAGAUAUCGGACAAGGGCAAGGCGACAAUCUCUGUUUUUACGAAUGUCGAGAUUAUUUUCCCGCUUUCAUAUCACUGCUGCUCUCCUGGUCCUGGUCCUGGUCUUACGAUAUCUUAAAAUGUUAUCAAUUUAGUUAUCUCAUCGAGGCAACCAAAAACUACUCAGUGGAUUACGACUCGGGACUCCGCUCGUUUGGGUUUCACUAGUAAGCGGAAAAAGUGAGUCUAGUGCGUUUUCUGUUGUGUUGCUUUUUACCGAGUUCCAAGUCAAUGGUGUUGGCAGCAUUUGCGGAUCUUUUCAUCGUUUUCUUUUGUGGGCACUCCAAAGUUUUUGCCUUUGACAGUCUUCUUUCUCCUAAAGGCGUGAACUAUGAUAUGAAGCUACAUGUAAUGGGAGGUUGGGAUAUAAAUUCUGUGGAUCCAUGCUUUUGGAACCUGGUUGCUUGGUUGCUCUACUGAGGGUUUCCUCAUUUCCCUGCUUGAAAUGGCUCGUAUGGAUUUAUCUAGAACUCUUUCUUCUCCCAGUAUUGGCAACUUAACUCUCCUAAGAACAGUGCCUUAAAGUCUGUGCGUUUUGAUCUAGUUUUACUGGGAACAACUUUCUUUGCACUUCUCCAUCUGAGCAAAUUUGCCUGGGUGUUUCUAAACCAUCAAAGGAGACAUGUUUAACUCCAAAAGCCGGUGGGUAUUGCCGAUGGAUGAUUUCUGUUAAUGUAUGCAUCAGCUGCAAUUUUGUUGUUUCCGUGAUGUUGCUUGUUUGUUAGGUGCAUUGUGCUGCAAGAUCAUGAAUUUGAUAUUGUUCAUGAGAAGAGGUUCUCACUUCAUAAAUUACAAAUUGCUACUGCAACCUUAGUGCCAAAAACAUUCUGGGGCAGGGAGGAUAUAGAGUAGUUUAUAAAAAUGUCCUCCAAAUAGGACAGUGAUGGCAGUUGAAAGGUUAAAAGAUCCAAAUUUCACCUGAGAAAUGCAGUUUCAGACCAAAGUUGAGAUGAUUGGAUUAGCAUUGCAUUGGAAUCUGUUAUGCAUGAAUGGCUUCUGUUUGAUGCCUGAGGAAAGGUUGCUUGUUUAUCCUCAUAUGCAAAAUGGGACUGAGUGUUGCUGCUUGCUUGAGAGAAAUCUUAUCUAUAAAUAUGAUCGGAGUAGUUGAUAGAUUCUCAUCUGCAUUCUUCCACAAAUUAAACACAUCUCCAGCCCAAGGAAGGAAGAAUGAUACCAGUAACUAUUAAAUCUUUGUUAGAACCUUAUACGAAGAAAGGAGGCUAGAAUUGCUAGUAGAUAGGGAUCUGAAGGGACAAUUCAAUUUAAUGGUAUUGGAAAAAGCUGUAGAGUUGGCUCUGCUGUGUACUCAGUCACAUCCUAACCUUUGCGCAAAGACGUGAGCAGUUUUGAAGGUCCUGGAAGUUCUUGUUGAGCAGGCAGGAAUUGAAGAGGCACAAGGUGGAUCCAAUCUUGGCAAGGCAAGACAGUGAUGCCCAAGAAGAAUCAGAACUUUCUGGACCACAGUAACAAAAUCAUUUCUGCAUCUAACUGUAAAUGAAUUUCUCAUCUGACUAACCUUCAGUUUUU